GCACGAGGCUAGUUGCUAAGCAAGGGGAUCUUUUUGCUACCUGGGCAAAGGCAACAGGAACCCUCAGAUUCAUCCCUACCCCGCGGUCCCCGCCAUGCCUCAUAUCGACAACGAUGUGAAACUGGACUUCAAAGAUGUCCUGUUGGGGCCCAAACACAGCACCCUUAAGUCUCAAAGUGAGGUGGAUCUCACAAGACCCUUUCCAUUUCGGAACUCAAAGCAGAUGUACACUGGGAUCCCCAUCACUGCCGCCAAUAUGGAUAACGUGGGCAAAUUUGAGAUGGCCAAGGUUCUCUGUAAGUUCUCCCUCUUCACUGCUGUCCAUAAGCACUAUAGCCUCGAUCAAUGGCAAGAGUUUGCUAGCCAGAAUCCUGACUGUCUUGAGCAUCUCGCUGCCGGCUCAGGCACUGGCUCUUCUGACUCUGAACAGCUGGAACAGAUCCUGGAAGCUAUUCCCCAGGUGAACUAUAUAUGCCUGGAUGUGGCAAAUGGCUAUUCUGAACACUUUGUUGAAUUUGUAAAGGAUGUGUGGAAGCGCUUCCCUCAACACACCAUCAUGGCAGGGAAUGUGGUAACAGGAGAGACGGUGGAAGAGCUCAUCCUCUCUGGGGCUGACAUUAUCAGGGAGGGAAUUGGGCCAGGCUCUGUGUGUACCACUCGGAAGAAAACUGGAGUGGGGUAUCCACGGCUCAGUGCAGUGAUGGGGUGUGCUGAUGCUGCUCAUGGCCUUAAAGGCCACAUCAUUUCAGUAAGGCCCAAGGGCAGGGUAGGGUCUGAGGCUGCCAAACAGCUAGGUUUUCUGCAGGGUGUGGAGGCUCUGGUAGGUAUGGACCAGGACUCCUAGCUUUAAGGUGGGCCACUGGGACAUCACUGAGAGGGCUUGGAAAAUCCAUGCUGUCUUUUUGAAGUGCUCCUUACUUUGCAGGACGGAUGCUGCAGCUGUCCCGGGGAUGUGGCCAAGGCUUUCGGUAAGGAGUUAGGGCAUGGAAGGAAGAUCCUGUAAAAUAGAUGAGUCACCUCUGAGGGUCUUAAGUCAGGCUAGGAGAGGCUCAGGAAACCAUUCAGAUUCUUUGAUAAUAUGAACUAGUGACCCUGAAGCCUAUGGUAUCAUCCAAGGCAAGCCAGCAGGGGACAUCCUGAGACCCUGAUUUGGACUCUCCAAGUGUGGCCAGAGUCAUCUGACUGUCCCCAGGAUUGUUGCACAACGUAGAUUCCUGAGCUCCAACCCAGACCUAUAAAAUCAGGCUCUCAGGCAUGGGGCUGCAAAUCUGCAUUUUGCACAGCUUCCCAGGGUGAUCCUUACUCACAUUAAAGCUGGAGACCUUUGCUUUUGAAAAAAAGGAAAAAGAAUAUACUUUUAGUCUUACUUUACUUUUGGCAAAAAGAUGACAUCUCCCCUUACACAUACAUAUACCAAUAAGACUAAAGGCCCUUGGUUUCUUUGUAGUUCUGGGUAGUUUCAAAGAAUCUUUACGUCUGAAAGUAAAACCAGAAGGUUGAUUUUAUACUACAGCUGUACAUCUAUUACUGCCAUUAACAUUACCCCCAAACAGAAAAAUCAUCGCUGAUCACC